GUCAGGACUUAGAAGCUCCUCUGGAGUAUUCUCUCAGCUCAUUACUGACUCUUGUGGACUGGUAGAAACUAGAAGACGUGGAUUCCAUAGAGCAACAAAAAGCUAAGUGGCUUAGACUUCUGUUGCUUUCUCAUCAAGAAUAUCCUUCAAGUAAAUAGCCAAUCAGGGAAUGUUACCUCCAGGCUGAGCAUUAGGAAGAGAACAAGAAGGACACAGCAGAGGGACCGGAAGCCAAGAGGGAAUGGCAUUUCAGGAGGACUAUGAAUCUGGGAUUAAGGAGAAACUUGAUUUGGAGGCGUAUGGAGACUCUUCAUUGAAGCAGUCUAACAUGUCACUUGCAAGUGAAGACAUUCACCAGAUGAACAUUUGCCAGCAUAUCUGUACAUCGUUCAGUCAGUACUUCUGGCCUGGUCACCAGGGAAUCUAUCACCUGAGUAAAAGAAGGAGGGUGGAGAGGGUAUCCAUGGGGAAAGCAGGAUCCUAUCAGAGGCAUGUGGACGCAAGUGAGUGUGUGCAGUGGCAUCUUCAGUGGCCUGGCAGAGGCUCAGCUGCAAACCAGGAAUUUCCCUUCUGAAACUUUCUUCCACCACAAGUUCACUCACUAGGCAGCUUUAGACAAUUCAUUCUUAGACUGAAUUUCCCAC
rnacentral:lncRNA from 1 species